GUUUCUUCACUGCCUAGAACAGUGCCUGCAAUGCAACAGGAGCUCAUUAAGUAUGCGGUGGGUGAAUAAAGAAACAACAAUGAAUAAAUAUCUUUGAAUGUUCAUCACUGGGGCAUGUGAGCCUAUCUUCAGGAAAACCUCCUAGAAGGGCCACAUCUGCGUGGGCACGUGAGUGCACGGAUACAGGUGCGUGGGCACAAGGACAGUAAGUCCCCACACACGAACCUUCAAGCGGAGAAGUGUCCAAGAUGCCAACGUGCAUCCCUGUCCAACCACGUAAGCUAGUCCACGUGUCUGGCGCGCAUCGUCACUCGCGUGCAUCCUCUAUAAGUGGGUGCGCUUCUGGGUGCUUCCCUGCGCGGUGCCCUAUGGAGUACAGCGGGGCAGUAUCUUUGCUUCAAGCCCAGGAGGUCCUGAAGCCAGCAGAAAAGCAGAGACGAUGCAGCGGUACCGUACCCUACUACUGCGCUUUGCAAGGUACUGUACUGGAAGAGUAAAAAUGCUUUCUUUGUUUUUUUGUGUUUGUUUUUUAGGUGUUAUUUAAGUGUUGUGAGCCUAUUAUAGUACAGUACGACACAGCCGAUUGUAUUAGUUGGGUACCUAGGCUAAUUUUGUUGGGCUUACAAACAAAUCAGACAUGAUGAGCGUGCUCUCAGAACAGAACUUCUUUGUAUAUAGAGGACUUUCUGUCCUCAGUAUCUUCCCACACAGAGACCCACUGCUCCCGGGCAGCCAUGGCUGUGGCCAGGCCCCGGACAUUCUGACUUCCCAAAGGCAUGCGCUUGAUGCAGAGGCAGGUGAGGAAGACGCCCUCCUCUCAUCAGCUGAUGACAGUGUUUGGGGUAUCCUCUCUUCUCCCUGGCACCCCUCAUAGGCAGGAUCAACUUUUGCAACUUGCCUUCCAGACCCCUGACUAUCAGAUACAGCAUGGAAACACCUAGUUCAGGCCUGGCUCAAUAAAUGUUUAAUUAAUUAAUCAAUCAAGCCAAAUCAAAGAUUAGGUUGAUUAUCUAGAUCUUUUUUAUCUAUACAAUGCUAGGCAACUGGUUAAUUGCUUUUUCUUUUUUUUUUCCUUCCAGUUUUACCCUGAAAUGACAAUAUGCUUUGGAAUUACGUAGAAAAGCCUCAGAGGUCAAAAACCUGAUAAGUAGGAAAUAUUCCCAGGGUGUCCUUAAGAGCAGAUUGCCUCAGAAGCAAUAGUCAUUAUCCUAGAAGUCGAUGCCUUAAUGUUACCAUAAUGCUGAGGCAUAGAAUACCCUGGCUUAUGAUAGGAUAACGAAAAUCCGCAAAUACGGUUCUAUGAAAAUAAAAAAGCCAAACUCAGAAAACUGACAUCAGCACUAUUUUCCCCUCUGAGGAUGUCCAUACAUAUGCUGAUCAUAAAGACAAAGGAAUGUGCUAUUGCAUAAGAUUCUUAAUUGUGCCUCUCCCGGUAGGAUCCCAUCGGAAUCUCGGCAUGGCGUAGCUCUGUAAGAAAACAUCGUGUUGGGUAAAGCGUAGGGAAAUGAAAACCUGGUAUUCAAAUAACCGCAAUGAGGAGAAAUGCUGCAUGGUCCCUGUCUUUAGUAAACCUCCCAUGGAUCAUGGAGGUUUCUAUCCAAUAGCCUCAUGGAGCCCCAUGUUGCCCCGUGAAUAUAUGAAUUGAGUCAUAUAUUCAAUUAAGAGGCCCAAAUUGUANNNNNNNNNNNNNNNNNNNNNNNNNNNNNNNNNNNNNNNNNNNNNNNNNNNNNNNNNNNNNNNNNNNNNNNNNNNNNNNNNNNNNNNNNNNNNNNNNNNCAAUUAAGAGGCCCAAAUUGUACGCCUUAGUUUCACUUACAGAUCACAGGAUGCUGAGAUUUUUGUGCUGUUUAUUUUUAGCUAUAUACAUAUCAGAUUAGGCCUUUCUGGCUAUCCAUCUCAUUGGAACUGUAUUCUUGGUGGACUUGGGGCAGAAUAAAGUACCAUGUCCCAAGGGCCUUCUCUGCCCUUGCCACAACCAGGCACCCAAGGCAGCAGUCGCGUCCAGAACCUGCCACUUCUCUGUCACUGGCAGCAGGUUGCCCCAGACAGGCCCAGGACCUCAGGAAGCGGCAGGACAUGGAGCAGGAAAUCCUAGCAAUUCAACUGGAAACUUCAAAUCACUUCCAGGAGCUGAAAAGAUAAUUUACAAAGGCAUCAUUCCCUGACUUUCUAAAGAUCUGCCUCUGAUUUUUUUCAAAAGCUCUUUUGGGUUGAGUUAGAGCACUCACUCACACAUUCGUCUGGGAGCGGUGCUCUGGCAGCAGCCCAUGCCUCAGAGACUGCCAGGAGGACUCCAGUGGCUGGUGGAGGCCUCCGAUGCCUUGCAGUCUGAGCCCGCGCGCAGAGACGCGUGAUCCCGACCAUAAGCGCUGCCUUCACAGGCUGUCGGGGAGUGUGAACCUGGGACAGCAGAGCUGGCAGGCAGCCCUGCAGUAGCCACUUCCUCCUCCACCCGCCGCGCUGCAAACACACGGAAAGAUCGAUAGCUGUGGCUUCAGAACUUCCUCUUCUCAACGCUGUGAACACAUGCGCAGCCACACGUGGUAUAC
ensembl:lncRNA